GCGGGUAUAGUACAUCGGUAGUAUGGUUCCUUCCCAAGGAACAGAGAGGGGUCCGAUUCCCCUUACCCGCUCCA
rnacentral:tRNA from 1 species